CACGUUUCCAGAAUCCUCCAUGUGAGAUCCAUGAGCUCCAGAACCGUUGACCACAGUGCUGAAGGCGCCUAGGGCAUUGGAAACAGACACGUGUCCUCGCCGCCUAACUCUGAGAGUCUGGACGUGACGACAUCACGGAUCGAGAGCCCCGAGCACAUCUGGGCCGACGCCAAGUGCCCAGCGUAGGAGGCAGCUUCCACCGGGGCUGCCCACACGCUGUGGGAGCCCCGGCCCUGGAGUGGGGGCCGCGCCCCGUGACUUGCUCUGGAGCGGAGUGGCCCAAGGUCAGGCUCAGGGAGGCUGUGCUACGGGAACCCGCACUCCAGUCGCUCAGGGGCUGAGACAAGGGGAGAUUCUGAGACUGAGGGGGGUCCUGUCACACAAGGUAGAGGCAUCACGGCCUGGUGGCUGCACCCCUCGGGGCCACAGCAGGGAAGGCACGCAGGGGAAUCGCCCGUGGGGGUUUCUCUCCCUCCAGAAGCGGCGUGAUCUCUGCUCAUGGGUUUGGCCAUCUAGUCGCAGGGCCCUGGCUACCUACCCAGAACUGGAAAAUGUGGGAGAAGAUAUGAUGGGUAGGUGAGCUCUGCUGUGCCUGCCACGAAGACCACGCUUCCCCAGCCGGUCCCCGAGACACCCUCAACGUCCUUCCUCAGUCCCCUCUUGCAGAGCCGUGACCAGAAGGCAAGGGCCUCCGGGCCGCCCCUCCAGACCCCAAAAUGCCCCAUGCGGCACAGCCCAGGGGACCUGAUACCCUGGGUCCUUCUGGAGACCGGGAUAGGAAAGAAGGGGACGGGCAAAGAACGACCUUGUCCUGAAAGGAAGACCCAUGUGUCCCCUGCAGCAGGGCAGGACCGCCUGGGGGACCGCUGCCUGCCAGGGCCCCAGACCCCUCUCCAGGUCCGUGAGCUGUCCUCACGCGGUGCCUGCCCCCUCGCUGUGUUCACAUCGUUCCUCGCUCUCCCAGGAAGCAGAGAACCCAGAGAAGGGCUCGGGCCAGUAGUGCUUGUAGAAGAUUCCAGAUCCUUCUACGCAAUGAUGUCCUCACUAACUCCCUCAUUACGACGGCAGGCGGCUGCAUCCCGCCUGACGCUGCCCGGCCCGGACGGCAGGUCCCUGUCCCCACGUGCCCGCUGCUGCGUCCCAUUGCGGUUUGGAGCUGCUUGUGCCCUUGCCUUGUUGUGUCCCAUUACUUUAGAGGAGCCGCCGCACCUGUCGUAAGAGAAUCGGCCUGUUUUCUAACACACAUAACGUAACUCUUCUCCAACGUGCACGUCACCUCUGUCUGGGGACUCUGGCCCUGCUCUCAGCCUCAGGAAGCUGGAUGUACCCGUUACUUGAAAGGCUUAUUGGUUUUAUGUCUUGCGGAAAAACCUCGGCCCCAAAGCAAAAGUGUGCUUUGUACUCGGUCUGGAUGCCUCCUAGAACUUUUGCGGUUGCAGUGUUGGUGUGUGAAUGUGACCGGAAGGGACUGUGCUUGGGUCUCAGACCAGGAGGUCCCUUGCAGCAGGGCGGUGGGGACCGGGGCAGGGUCUGGGAGGCGGGAGUCCUCCGCGCUCUGCAGCCUGUGGCCUCGGGCAGUCAUGUCAGCUCCCUGCCUUCUCCUUGAGUCUCUGAUGCGGAGACAAUGACCGUGCUCCCCUCAGGGAACCGUUGCCAGGGUGUCAGAAGGCGAGAGCUUUCCCUUAGGUGUGAGCUGUUCCCAUCAGGACGAUGCUUGCUCCUGGCAAGCACAGCUGGGGUCCGCCCCGAACUUCCCAGGUCCCGGAUGGAGCCCUGUGCUCCCCACCAGCUGCCCUCUCGGGGUCUCCUCCGGGGAUCAGGGACGGGCUCCCAGGAGACAGACACCCAUGGUGCCGCCUCACAGGCGGCCACGGGAGCCAAAGUCCCCCCGGGCCUUCCGCUCAGAGCUAUGAAGCUCUCAGAGACAUGUCCACGGCAGCUGGUUUCCAUGGUCCCUGUCAAGUCCACAGCAGGAAGAAACUGAGCACACCUGUGCAGGGGGGGCAGAGUCCUAGAGACGAGGGAGGGCCGGAUACUGUGGCUCCACAUGGUGUGGGCAUCUCCCCAUUUCUCUCCACCGAGCUUCCUCGUGGCUCUAACAUAUUGUGUGUUCAUCACAGCUAGCCUACGGAUGGUGCAGUUGGUCGAAGCAGAAGGUAGGUGUGGGUCCCCCCCUCAGGCUCCUCCAGGAGUCAGAUGCCCAGGGCGUGUAUGUUUGUUCAGGCAGCCGCAAACACCAUCAACCUGAGCGAACGCAGCAUAUGUUGGUAAUUGCACUUCGAGUUUCCUGAUGGCCGGGACCAGUGCGCCCUCGAUCCUUCCAAUCCUUCUCUGACUGGGCUGUGAACACCUGCUGGCUCCCUCAGGAAUGAAUGGGCCCAAUGAAGUGUCCGGGGAGACCCAAAGGCAGCUCCCCGGCCAAACGGUCAGGGCUGAGCUGAUGUGGAAAUAGGCAAAGUUGGCUGCAACUUCCAUGAAAUUCGGAGAAACAGCCCUUGUUGCAACCGGGGUGGGGGUGGGGACGGUGCACUGGGCUCCCGGAGGGACUGCGAUUCAGCCUCCACUGUGCUACCGCCCCGAGGGCUGUUCGCCAGCAAUUCUGAGCCAACAAUGACUGUCUCGGUGCCCCCAGCGUUGGUGAGAGGGGCUCGGCACCAGGGAAGCAGAGACAAGGGAGGUGGCAUUUUGUGCUGACCACAGGCGGGCCUGCACGGCUCUAGCCGGGCCGUGGGUUAGCGGCUUCUUGUCGGUUCACCGCUGUGGCUCGUGUCCUGAGCCUGCCGUGCACACAGAGUUUGCAAACACCGGGGAAGGGGCUGCUGGCCUUCACACAUGGUCUAGAAGACCCUGCUCAGGAGUGGAGACGGAGACAGCAGAGGGUCAAGGAUUGUGAGCGGAGCUCCAAAGAGACAAUAUCCUUCCGGCCUGGGGGGCUGAGCCACUGACGGCGGAAAGCCUAGGCUCCUGGUUUUGAAGGGUCCUCAGCUGUCCGAACCUGUCAGCACCCGGGGCUAGGACAGGAUGGAGACAGAGAGCACAGGCCUUGGAGAAGCCCAAGGAGAGUCCUGUCCAGAUGGGGGCACCCAGGCUCAGGAUGUCGUAGUGGGGAGGGCCUUGAGGGGACCUUUCACAGAGGAAGGGGCUCCGUCAGGGGUGAACUUACCCCGGGUCAUGAAAGGCAGAGACAGACCUGGAGCCGGCUUCGCUCUCCCCCAGGCCACGGCUUCCCCUGCAGGGGGCUGCCUGCACCUCUCCCCCUGCCCUACCCUGCCCCGCGCAGGGGCUCACUCUCAGCGGCUCCCAGCAGUCCUGGGCUCUCACGCCCCAGCUAUUCUCCUGGCAAAGGGCACCCAGGUACCCGUCCGCCUGGGGCAGGGCAAGACCUCGGGCACCUGCUGGCAAGGAGGGCACCAGGGAGGGAGGAGGCUCAGCCCUCAGGCUGCAGGGGAGGGCCCGCCCCCCAGGCUGGACGGUGAGCCUGGGCUUCAGGAGGCUGGAAGCCGACUCAAGCUGGGAGGAAGGCAGUGAGAGCUCUCAGAUCAGCAGAAGGUGCUGAUCCCAGAGAGGAAGGACAGAAGGACAGAAAGACAGACGGCAGGGACACAGGUGGCUGUGAUCCAGACAGCCAGGCUUUAUUUAAAGAAGAUAAAAUUUAACAU